ACCUCGGCUCAGAAGAGAUUACCCGCUGAACUUAAGCAUAUCAGUAAGAGGAGGAAAAGAAACCAAUAGGGAUUCCCUUAGUAGGGGCGACCGAAA
rnacentral:rRNA from 1 species